rnacentral:rRNA from 1 species
CCUACGGGUGGCAGUAGUCGAGAAUCAUUCACAAUGGGGGAAACCCUGAUGGUGCGACGCCGCGUGGGGGAAUGAAGGUCUUCGGAUUGUAAACCCCUGUCAUGUGGGAGCAAAUUAAAAAGAUAGUACCACAAGAGGAAGAGACGGCUAACUCUGUGCCAGCAGCCGCGGUAAUACAGAGGUCUCAAGCGUUGUUCGGAAUCACUGGGCGUAAAGCGUGCGUAGGCUGUUUCGUAAGUCGUGUGUGAAAGGCGCGGGCUCAACCCGCGGACGGCACAUGAUACUGCGAGACUAGAGUGAUGGAGGGGGAACCGGAAUGCUCGGUGUAGCAGUGAAAUGCGUAGAUAUCGAGAGGAACACUCGUGGCGAAGGCGGGUUCCUGGACAUUAACUGACGCUGAGGCACGAAGGCCAGGGGAGCGAAAGGGAUUAGAUACCCCUGUAGUC